AGAGUUUGAUCCUGGCUCAGAAUGAACGUUGAUGAUUAGCUUAACACAUGCAAGUUAAAAUUAUCUAUUGAGAAUUAGCGUACGGGUGAGUAAUACACAGAAAAUAAUAUCGAGAAUAAUACUUAAUAUAUGAAAAGAUUAAAUCGGCUUGAAAAUAGUCUGUGAAAGAUUAAGUAGUUGGUAAAAAAAGACUACCAAGCUUACAAUCUUUAGUUGGUCUGUGAGGAUGAACAACCACACUGGAAUUGAAAAAUGGUCCAGACUUUACUUUAAAGGCAGCAGUGGGGAAUAUUGGGCAAUGAGCGAUAGCUUGACCCAGCUAAAUCAUUUAUGUGAUUAAGGCUUAGCUGUAAAACAUAAAAUAAAUUUCAACAAUGAUGAAAUCUAGUGUAGUCCUGGCUAAUUUCGUGCCAGCAGCCGCGGUAAGACGAGAAGGGCUGACGUUAUUCAGAUUUAUUGGGCGUAAAGUAUAUGUAGACUGAAUAUUAAAUUUUAUGUUUAAAUAUUAAAUUUUAUGUUUAAAUUAAUUAGAAACUAAUAUUCUUGAGUUUGAAUGAAGACUGUAGAAUUCUAGAUGUAACGGUAAAAUGUAUUGAUAUUUAGAGGAAUCUCAAGUAGCGAAAGCAGCAGUCUAAUUUAAAACUGACGUUGAGAUAUUAAAGCAUGGGAAGCAAAAGGGAUUAGAUACCCCUGUAGUCCAUGCCCUGAACAAUGAGUGUUUAUUUUCCAAAAGAAAUUAAGUUAACGCUAAAACACUUCGCCUGGGGACUACGAUUGCAAAAUUAAAACUCAAAGGAAUUGACGGGGAUCUGCACAAGCAGUGGAGCAUGUGGUUUAAAUCGACAAUACGCGCAAAAUCUUACCAACUUUUGCAUUUUCACAGGUGUUGCAUGGCUGUCGUCAGUCCGUGCUAUGAAGCGUUUGGUUCAUUCCAAUAAACGGACAAAACUCUUUUUAGUUUUAGAACUGAAACCGUUAAAGAUAUUUUAAAGGAAGGUAAGAACGACGUCAAGUCCUCAUGACCCUAAUAAGUUGGGCUACUUUCAUGUGCUACAAUGAUUUUUUCAAUAAGAAGCAAUAACGAAAAUUAGAGUAAAGCUUUAACAAAAAUCAAUUACGGAUCAAUUUCUGAAACUCGAAAUUGUAAAGAUGGAAUUGCUAGUAAUCGUGAAAAAGAUUGUCACGGUGAAUCCGUUCUCAGAUCUUGUACACACCGCCCGUCACGCUAUGGAAAUUUAUUUUAUUGGAAAAUAGUAACUAUUUAAGAUAAAAAAAGGACUGAAGUGAAGUCGUAACAAGGUAGCCGUAGGGGAACCUGUGGCUGGAUUAUCAUAUACAAAUUCUACUACUCU
rnacentral:rRNA from 1 species